rnacentral:rRNA from 1 species
UACGCAGGGGGCAAGCGUUGUCCGGAAUUACUGGGCGUAAAGCGCGCGCAGGCGGCUAUCCAAGUCAGUGGUGAAAGCCCGGAGCUCAACUCCGGAACUGCCAUUGAAACUGGAGAGCUCGAGUCCGGAAGAGGUGAGUGGAACUGCGAGUGUGGAGGUGAAAUUCGUAGACAUUCGCAAGAACACCAGUGGCGAAGGCGGCUCACUGGUCCGGUACUGACGCUGAGGUGCGAAAGCGUGGGGAGCAAACAGG